rnacentral:rRNA from 1 species
GACGAACGCUGGCGGCGUGCCUAAUACAUGCAAGUCGAGCGAGCGAAACUAACAGAUUUACUUCGGUAAUGACGUUAGGAAAGCGAGCGGCGGAUGGGUGAGUAACACGUGGGGAACCUGCCCCAUAGUCUGGGAUACCACUUGGAAACAGGUGCUAAUACCGGAUAAGAAAGCAGAUCGCAUGAUCAGCUUUUAAAAGGCGGCGUAAGCUGUCGCUAUGGGAUGGCCCCGCGGUGCAUUAGCUAGUUGGUAAGGUAAAGGCUUACCAAGGCGAUGAUGCAUAGCCGAGUUGAGAGACUGAUCGGCCACAUUGGGACUGAGACACGGCCCAAACUCCUACGGGAGGCAGCAGUAGGGAAUCUUCCACAAUGGACGCAAGUCUGAUGGAGCAACGCCGCGUGAGUGAAGAAGGUUUUCGGAUCGUAAAGCUCUGUUGUUGGUGAAGAAGGAUAGAGGUAGUAACUGGCCUUUAUUUGACGGUAAUCAACCAGAAAGUCACGGCUAACUACGUGCCAGCAGCCGCGGUAAUACGUAGGUGGCAAGCGUUGUCCGGAUUUAUUGGGCGUAAAGCGAGCGCAGGCGGAAGAAUAAGUCUGAUGUGAAAGCCCUCGGCUUAACCGAGGAACUGCAUCGGAAACUGUUUUUCUUGAGUGCAGAAGAGGAGAGUGGAACUCCAUGUGUAGCGGUGGAAUGCGUAGAUAUAUGGAAGAACACCAGUGGCGAAAGCGGCUCUCUGGUCUGCAACUGACGCUGAGGCUCGAAAGCAUGGGUUGCGAACAGG